UCGCUUUUUCUCCUAAUCAACUUUAAGAAAACUCUAAAACAACCACAAAAAAUAGUUGUUUUCAAUGACAAGUUUACCAAAUAAGAUCAACUAUAAAAAAAAUUGAAAUCACCUAUAAAAUAUCGAAAACAACAAUAAAAUCUAGUUGUUUAAUGAAAUCAACUAAAAUUUAUCAAAAAAAACUACAAAUUGUUAAAAACAACUACAAAAAUCGAAAACAACUACAAAUUUACAAAAUCGACUACAAAAUAAACAACUCCAAUUUUCUUCUACUUUGCCAUGUCUGAGAUAUGAGUUUUCUUCCAGAGAUAGGGCCAAGAUACAACUCCGAUCAUAUGAGUUUUCUUCCACAGAUCUUCGUAGAUUUCGAAUGUGCUAUGCAUAAAAUAAUCACGAUGUCCGCAACUAUUUCAUACAUAAAGACAAACACAAAACAAUUCAAUAAAAAUUCAAAUCAGAACACACAAUAAUAUCCAAAAUAUGUAAUAACAUCAACAAAUUGCUGAUUUUCUAUUUAAACAAACGCCAGACUCAAAUCACAAAAUUAUUCAACAAAUAAGACAUGAUAGAAAUCGAAUCAUAUUGUAAUUUGACAAUUGAAUCAAGAUAACAACAUCACAACAAUUAAUCUAAAAAAUCAAUCAGUUGCAAAAUAAAAAUAAUUAAAUAAUGACAGAAUUUGACAGACAAACCUAAAUAAUCUCGCUUGCUUCGAUCUGGAUCUCGUCGUCACCGGUGUUACACCGUCAUGAAGGCUAAGAGGUCGUCGACGUCGGAUCAGAGUCAUGUGACGCUGGAAGUUGUUCCCAAAAAACGGCGGAGAAAUGGAUUGGAGAAGAAGCUUCGUCGUCUUCUUCAUAAUUGCCCUUGACCAUGGGAUUCGCACAUAAAAAGGAUAUUGGGAGAGAAGAAGAGGGAUGAAAAAAAAUAUAUAAGAUCGUGAGGCGAGGGUGGGGGAGAGGCUGCGUGGCGGAGGUGCAGAUCUGUGGCGAGGGAGAGAAAAAGAGAGAGAUGCGGCUGGUGAAGA
rnacentral:lncRNA from 1 species